UUUUAAAAAUUCACACUCUCC
rnacentral:piRNA from 1 species